rnacentral:rRNA from 1 species
CCCUUAGAUGUUCUGGGCCGCACGCGCGCUACACUGACGAAUGCAACGAGCUUAUAACCUUGGCCGAAAGGUCUGGGUAAUCUCCAAAUUUCGUCGUGAUGGGGAUAGAUUAUUGCAAUUAUUAAUCUUCAACGAGGAAUGCCUAGUAAGCGCAAGUCAUCAGCUUGCGUUGAUUACGUCCCUGCCCUUUGUACACACCGCCCGUCGCUCCUACUGAUUGAAUGGUCCGGUGAAGCGUUCGGACCGUGGCCUUUGGACGGUUCGCCGUCUGUUGGCUGCGGGAAGUUCGUUAAACCUUAUCAUUUAGAGGAAGGAGAAGUCGUANCA